GGGCGUGUUUCAACCCAACCAGGAAAGAAAAUCCCUCUGGACUCAAUUGGAUACACCUACAACCAAUCACAGCAACAGAUGUACAUACAACAAUCAGAG